CCCCUCUCAGGGUCACACCUGGAGAGUUUCCAGUACUCUACCAGUCUCGACUACGGGACGGAAAGUCAAGCAAAGGCAUAACCAUUCCAUUCCUAGCUUGGGCAGUGGCUAGCGAGUGGAAGGCAAUCUGCUACGAGU
rfam:Ornithorhynchus anatinus chromosome 2, whole genome shotgun sequence.